AUAUCCCUGCCAUGUGCGUGUGAUAUCGCAGUUUUGAGCCAACACAUUUACUUCGGGAGUCCGGACUCUCGUCUGAACGUUACGCCCUUACGGGACAACCGCAAGAUGAGGAGGGCACCCACCUGCCCUAAGCAGGAUCAAAACGCGGUACAUUACGGCAUGGUGGGGCUUUU
rnacentral:other from 1 species